ACACGGGCAGGGAGGUGGGGCAGCUCUAGCGAGAAGAUCUGAGGCAGUAAAGAUGGCCUUCUGCACAGCGAGCAGCCUGGCUGGCGUGACAGCAGAAUGGGUCCCUCCCUGCACGUAACCCCUGUUGGAAAAGCGGCUUACUGAGAAGCUGCUUUGCACUACCAAGUGCAGCCUGGAGAACAGACAGGAAACGAUACCCGUUCUGUUUACAUUUGGACAAGGUGUGAAUUGGGUCGAAAGUCCUUUCCAAGCUCAUCACCUGCAAAGAAACCCCUGACACCCUAACUGCUCUAUGAAGCAAAGGGCCCACUCCCUACUCUGUGUGUGGUUUGCUAUGGACUGUUUUGCACUGCGCCUAAAGGCCUGAUCCCUCACCCACGGAUCUCAGCUGACUUCAGUGGAUGUCAGAUUGGGCCCGUAAACUGUAAGCUCUUCUGGGCAGGGACCCAGAGCUGCCCACCACUGUGGCAGGAUGGUAGGUUCCUACUUCAGCGUGGAUUCUGGACAUGAUGGGUGAAAUCCUGGCCUCGCUCUUCCACUGACAUCAGUGGGCCAGCAUUUCACCCCAAAUUCUAUAUGCCUCUAUAGAACUAACAUGCAGAAAGCUGUGGUGCAGGGACAGAGCAGUUCUGCCUUCUUCUAGACCUAUAUUAAAGGCCAGCUGGACUCUGCAGAAGCAGCUGAUAAAAGAGGUGGAACCGUGAAGAUGAAAGGGAUAUAAACUACUGAAUGCUUGGGCGACUCUGACUAUAUUUGAUAUUAU